rnacentral:rRNA from 1 species
GAUGAACGCUAGCGGCAGGCCUAAUACAUGCAAGUCGAACGGUAAAUAUUAUAGCAAUAUAGUAUGAGAGUGACGCACGGGUGCGUAACACGUAUGCAACCUACCCUUUACAGGAGUAUAGCUCGGGGAAACUCGAAUUAACCCUUCAUAGUAUAAUUGAAUGGCAUCAUUUGGUUAUUAAAUCUUCGGAGGUAAAGGAUGGGCAUGCGUCUGAUUAGUUAGUUGGUAGUGUAAUGGACUACCAAGACGAUGAUCAGUAGGGGAACUGAGAGGUUGAUCCCCCACACUGGCACUGAGAUACGGGCCAGACUCCUACGGGAGGCAGCAGUAGGGAAUAUUGGUCAAUGGGUGAGAGCCUGAACCAGCCAUGCCGCGUGCAGGAAGAAGGCCUUCUGGGUUGUAAACUGCUUUUGUCAGGGGAUAAAAUGACCUUGCGAGGUUAAUUGAAGUAC